rnacentral:piRNA from 1 species
UGUGAGCUGGGGGGUCUCGCCGG